UUUGCUACCCGUUGACGAGCGGCGGACGGGUGAUUAAUGCGUAGGAAUCUGCCCGAUAGUGGGGGAUUACCUGGGGAAACCCAGGCUAAUACCGCAUACGUCCUACGGGAGAAAGGGGGCUUCGGCUCCCGCUAUUGGAUGAGCCUAUGUCGGAUUAUCUAGUUGGGGAGGUAAAGGGUCACCAAGGGGACGAUCCCUAGCUGGGCUGAGAGGAUGAUCACCCACAUCGGGACUGAGACACGGCCCCAACUCCUACGGGAGGGAGCAGUGGGGAAUAUUGGGCAAUGGGCGAAAGCCUGAGCCCCCCCUGCCCCGUGUGUGAAAAAAGGCCUCUGGUUGUAAAGCACUUUUUGCGAUGAAAAACGCCUAAUGGUUAAUACCCAUUAGGAAAGACAUCACUCCCACAAAAAGCACCGGCUAACUCCGUGCCCGCAGCCGCGGUAAUACGGAGGGUGCAAGCGUUAAUCUGAAUUACUGGGCGUAAAGCGCGCGCGGUGGCUUGAUAAGCCGGGUGUGAAAGCCCCGGGCUCAACCUGGGAACGGCCUCCGGAACUGUCAAGCUAGAAUGCAGGAGAGGAAGGUAGAAUUCCCGGUGGUGCAGUGAAAUGCGUAGAGAUCAGGAGGAAUAACACUGGCGAAAGCGGCCUUCUGGACUGACACUGACACUGAUGUGCGAAAGCGUGGGUAGCAAACAAGAUUAUAUACCCUGGUAGUCCACGCCGUAAACGAUGUCGACCACCCGCUGGGUGGCUAGCGGACUUUGUGG
rnacentral:rRNA from 1 species